rnacentral:piRNA from 1 species
UGUGAAGAAUGAGAUAGACUCUCGGAGGC